CAGUAGCCGCGGUAAUACAGAGGGUGCGAGCGUUAAUCGGAUUUACUGGGCGUAAAGCGUGCGUAGGCGGCUUCUUAAGUCGGAUGUGAAAUCCCUGAGCUUAACUUAGGAAUUGCAUUCGAUACUGGGAAGCUAGAGUAUGGGAGAGGAUGGUAGAAUUCCAGGUGUAGCGGUGAAAUGCGUAGAGAUCUGGAGGAAUACCGAUGGCGAAGGCAGCCAUCUGGCCUAAUACUGACGCUUAGGUACGAAAGCAUGGGGAGCAAACAGGAUUAGAUACCCGCGUAGUCCCUGUCUCUUAUAC
rnacentral:rRNA from 1 species